CCCUUAGAUGUUCGGGGCCGCACGCGCGCUACACUGAAGGAAUCAGCACGUCUUUCUCCUUGUCCGAAAGGACUGGGUAACCCGCUGAACCUCCUUCGUGCUAGGGAUUGGGGCUUGUAAUUCUUCCCCAUGAACGAGGAAUUCCCAGUAAGCGCGAGUCAUAAGCUCGCGUUGAUUACGUCCCUGCCCUUUGUACACACCGCCCGACGCUACUACCGAUUGGAUGGUUUAGUGAGAUCCUCGGAUUGGUCCCGGCGCGGCCUCUGGUCGUGCCGGAGUGCCGAAAAGAAUGUCGAACUUGAUCAUCUAGAGGAAGUAAAAGUCGUAACA
rnacentral:rRNA from 1 species